rnacentral:lncRNA from 1 species
GCUCACCUACUGAAACAUGAGUUCCUGAGGGCCAGGGUUUUGGCUCUUUUUCUCCUUCUGCCCGAGGUGCUUUACCAAUAUGCUGGCACAAAACAAGCGCUUGAUGGCUAUUUAGUGGGUGAGUGAAAUUCCCGCUCUGCCUGAGCUGCCUCCUCAGCAGGAUGGGUCUCAAGGGCAGUUCGGGCACACAGCAGGUCCUUAGAGCUGCUGGGUCGAGCUGAUCCGGUGCCAGGUCACUGGGGAAACAGAGGCAGCUCAGCUGAGUCACCCGACAGAAGGCAGCAGCACGAGCGGAGCCGCGGGGCCUUGAACGGAACACUGCGUCCCCGCCAGCCCCGCCCCUCUCCCCAACCUGGGAAAGCUCCUGCAGCCCGCAGCCGUGGGCACCUCCAGGGAAGGUACAUUUCCUUUCCUUUCCAUCGAUUUCUGUUCUCCCAGUGAGAAGACAAAUCUGCUUUGCUUCCACCAGAAGGCCUUGGGCCACGGUGCCUUGCAUUAUAGUAAUUAAAUCCCUGCUGCUAGGAGGGUUCAGGAGACAAACAGGCCUCCUGCCAAGGGCUGGCCAGCAGGGCCCGUCUCUGCUGUCUGCCGUGAGUGAGAAAUCCACUUCCCACGAUGCCUUCUCGGGUAGUCACGUGGGGGCGGGAAGAUGGACUCUUCCAUCGAACUCCACCACAGUCACUGCCCAGAGCCGCCACGACGAUCCCCAUCCUACGCCUGAGCCAGCUCGCUGCUCCCACUCCAGACAGUAACACAGAGGCCCUGGAACCAGGCCAGCCCAGGCCUGGGCAGGCGCCCUCGACACCCAGACCAGCCGAUCGUCAUGGAGAGUCGAAGGGCCACACACUCUGGGACGGCAGCUCCUCACUGGGCACUCACAACCCCAGGACACCAAGAUCCAGGGUGCGGGGCCACCUCCCAGAGCGCACAGCCAGGGAGGCACUGAAGCCAGCUCUGGGGAUUGAAUCCAGGAUAUGAGCCACGUUCAAUCCCCCAGCUCCACCCUCAGCAAAAGGAAUUAAAAGACCUCAUUUCGGGCCGGGGAUUUAGCUCAGUGGUUCCGUCGCCUGUCUCCCAACUGCAAGGUCCUGAGUUUGAUCCCCCGUACAAAAAAAACACCUCAUUUCAGACAAGCCGAUGCCCCGGGCCACCCAGCUAAUGGGCCGGGCACUGCCCCUGGGCUGUGGCGAAAGCCCAAGCUCCAGAGUGGAGCCCUGCCCAGCCCUGACUCCAGGCCUUAGGGACACGGACCCUCGGCACACCUGGAGCCUGUGCUGCUUCGGGACUGGAAAAAGAAACAGAGAGGAAGGACUAAAACGGAACUCUUGUCCUCCUGCUGCACCUUUACCACUUAUGACGCUGAGGAGCCUUGGAUAAGUCAUGCAUCUUCUCUGGGCCUUGGAGUCCUGUGGGGGACACACCUUGCCUGCCUUCCCCCUGGCCUGUGCAGCUUGGCCACUCGGGCCGAGUAUGACACCACACAGGGUAGACACGGCCCAGCUGCCUGCCUGUCCGUGCCCCUGUCUGUCCGUCAGCGCAGAGCCCCUCCAAGGCAGUUGGGCCCAGAGCUACAGAUUCCCCAGCCUCGCCCUGGGUGAAGGCAACAUCCCCACGUGUCAAGGCAAUCUGGGGAGCCAACAUCUUACCCACUGGAAGCCGGAAAACAAAGAAAAUGGCUAAGCCCCAAUUUGUUAAAAUCAGAAAUUCCAAAAAAGAGAAAAGGUUCAGCAAAAAAUCCCUGCUGGUGUAACCUUGCACGAAGGCAAACGGGUGCCAACUCGGGCGAGAGCACCAGGAGGAACUACCGCUUGCUGGCAGCCUGGGAUGUGCCAGCCACUUCGCUAGCACUCACCCAGCCAUUAUCGGGGAUGACUCACCAGGCUGGCGGAUGCCAGCACCCCAUUUCUAAAUGGGGAAACUGAGGCCCCCAAGCCCUAAGGUGACCAGCAGUGAGGGGUGGGCCAGAAUUAGCACCUGGACAGUUCUGCCCGCCUCCCCACAGGGUCCCCUCAGUUCAGAGCAGACCUCUGCCUCCUGACUGCUGGGCCACCCUGGGCAAGCUACAGCCAUCACAGCUCCUCCAUCCAUGGCCUGAAGCCAAACACAGACAACGGCCUCUGCCUGCCGCUGACAGGCGCUACCUGCAAGCACCAAGGGGUGGGGACCCACGCAGCCCCUGUGAGCUCGGUCCUUCAGUCCUGCUUUCCUGCUGUCUGGCAUAAGCACCCUUCUUGUUCUUCAAGAAAAAUGCCCAACAAGCUGACUCAAACAGACAGAUGCUGAUUUGCAUAUUGUUUCACACAUCAUGUGCAUGUGGCUCAUCUAGUAUCACCAAGGCUCUGCUCAGAAUACAGCUCCGCUCACCCUGUGACCAGGCUUUGUAGGAAAUUUAGCAACAUGGCUUCCACACGGGCACACCAGGCCCACCAUCCCAGGCCUCGGGUGGCCUCUCCCCAGAGCCCCUGGCUCUCAGCCUCCUCCUGGCCGGUCAUCUCAAGCACUCUGACCUCCCUCCGGGCCCCCCAGAGUUUAUUUUGCUCUUUCUCCACCUGUCUAUUUGAGUGUCCGUGCCCAGUGAGUUACGCCCAGACCACCGAUAGCCAAGUGCAGUGACUGCCGGUGGGAUGAGGAGGUUCCCGAAGGCCAGGCCAUCCAGCCACACCUUCCAGGAAAGCGGCCUCUCCUCUCCCUCUGAGAGCCGUCCAGAAUCAGCAGGGGCAGCCUGUCGUAGGGGUGAGCCCUGCCAGGAGAAGCAGGGCACAUCCCGAUUAUGAGCCCCCCUCCCGGUGCAGGCACCGACUGCUCUGCCGCCCCGGCACAGGGAGAGGUGACGCUGCGGGGCCCUCCAGCGACUGCUAAGAGCCACAGCUGGCGGAUGCUGAGGCUCAGCCUGUGCCCAGCUCUGGGCUGGGUGCUGCGCCACAGGCAGGGGUGUGGUCCCCCUUACCAAGCAAGGAAACGGGCUCGGGGCUCAGUUGACCCCCUAGAGAGGCCCCCAGUUCAUCACCGAGUUGAGAUUUGAGCCAAGCCCUUCACUACCACACCUGGCCUCCAGUGCCAGCUAAGAUGGCUGAGACAGGAACUGUGGGUCUGCAGGGCACAGAAUGCCAAGCUCCUGGCGAUUUCCUAAAGACUCCGCCCAACACGGUGCCACCCCCAGCCGUGUAUCCCUGCCUGGGGCCUCUCAGGGUGAGGCCCGGCCUCGGCCCACCAGGCUUCUUUCCUCUCUCCUCUUCCUGCGCUCCUCAUGCCAGAAACUUCGAGUUUUGCCGCCCACCUGCUCUGCACCCUUCAUCCCAGGGCCAUGUUCUCGCCUCAGAAAGCGGCCGGCCCAGGAUCCCACUCCCUGCCGCCAUCCUGGCCUGUCCAGGCCAGGGACCAACACUAUGAACACGGACAGCCUGGAGCCAGGCCUGCUGCCCAAAGGGUGCACCUGAAGAAGUGGGUCUGCAGGGAGCCUGAACAAGACAGCAGCUCUCAGUCCUUGUGAGGGAACCGAUCUGGAAUCAGAUCACAACACCCUGGCACAAGGAAAGCAGUCUGGUCUUACUCUUAAGCUAGAGAAAACCAAAGCCCAGCAAGGGGAAGACUUGACAAAGACCACAUGAGCUAGAAGCAAGAGGUAGGAGGCCCUCCAAGGGCUCCUCUAACACAGAGGCAAGCCUCCCUCUGCUCCAGCUGCCCGAGUGAAGGCCCGAGGCACAGCCAGGGAGGAGGGCAGGGGGCUCACAGAAUGGAGAAGAAAAUUCCAGAGCCAAUCACAGAGAAGCCUGAGAGGCCUCCUCAGCCAAACUCCCCGCCAGGCUUGUGGUGGGGUUUGGACCAUGGAACCCAGCUGGUUUCAGGUCCCUGGAAACCUGAGCUUCAUUCUAGAACUGUCUUCCCUGAGAAGAGCCUGAAACUGUGCCACUCAGCCAUCUCGUCUGCGGAACAUGGUUUGCUGCGAUGCCUCUGGGCCCGGGGUAGGGAUCUGAAAAGACAAGCCUGAGCAUCCGAGGCAGGACGGAAGGUCACGCAGCCCAUCCCGGGGAAGGGGCCAUAGCCAGGGCUGGCAAAGGCACGAGGACCAAGGGCGGAGCCGGGCAGGGGUGAGAGGCCCAGAG